UUGUUUGUUUGGGGUGGGGGUGGGGGGAGGAAAGGAAGAAAGAAAGGAAAGGAAAAGGAAAGGAGGGGGAGGGGGAGGGAGAGGCAACGCCGAGGAUCCCGAGAAUCUUGCACCAAACGCGCCCAACCUGGAGAGAGGGGGAAAAAUCCUUCCAGAAGAAUUUGCAGGCGUGGAUUGGGGUAAUUUUCUCUCUCUCUCUCUCUCUCUCUUUUUUUUUUUUUUUUUUUUUUGGCGAGAUGGCGUGGGGGGAUCGGAGUUGGAGGCAGGGAGGAGGGGGGGAAAGUUUCUCGGGGGAGGCAAAAAAAAGUUUUCUCUCCUCUGCAAAAGGCGGGCAGGGCGCCCUAAGUCCAAGGACAAUCCAUGGAAGUGUUCGCUUCUUCACAAGUUGUGCAAACGAUUUGUUAGUUCAUGAGCCUAAUUAGUGCGGGGAUCACAUAAACAGCUUCCUCCGAAGCCUGGUAAAUGGCUUGAUGAUUGGUCGCUAUUACUCGCCCUGAGGUGGAAGGGGGGAGACUCUUUAAAGUGCGUCAGAGGGAGGCGAGCGCCUGGGAACCCGGAGGCCUGGAUCCCGGCCGAGUGUGGAACGGAGUCGGCGCCGCUGCCUCGGCCGAGCCUCCUGCGCCCGCCAGGCCGCCGACCUCGCCGCGCCUUCGCCCCGCGCUCCUAGCUCGCUCGCUCCCGCGGCGCCCGCUGCGGCUUCUCCUCCUCCUCUUUCGCCUCCUCCUCUUCCUUCGGCCUCCUCUCCUCCUUCUCCUUCUCCUCCUCCUCCUCCUCCUCCUCCUCCUCCUCUUCCUCCUUCUUCUCCUCCUCCUUCUCUUCUUCCUCCUCCUCUUUCCCCACCUCCUCCCCCUCUGCCACCGCCUCCUCCUCCACCACCACCACUCCCUCCGGGGCACCCCGGUCCCUGCAGAGUCCCCGGCCCGCGCCGCCUCGGCUGCGGCCCCCUGGAUCCCGAGCUGGUGGGACAGACGGACGGACGGACACGCAGAUUCCCUCGCGCCUAGCUCUCGCCGCUGCUGUCCCCCGUGGCCCCACGUCCGCGAAGCUGGGAUCGCCCCCCGGAGCACUGCGAGGGUGUUCACUUGGCAAGAGACUCCUAAUCCAGAAACCGUUCCAGCACGGGGAUAAGUUUUUCUAAGCAGCAAAUGACUACAAACACAUCUGCAUUGACAAGUCACAACUUAUAUCCUUCUAUGGUGUUUCUGCUCUUUUGAAAAUGUUAAUAAAAACUUAAUGUGGAAAAAAAACAACUUUUUCCAAAUAUGUGUACCAAUAAGCCUGAGGCAACUCAUACUUUCUUAUAAAAUAAAGUAGGUCACUCACAUCAAUCAUGUUGUCUUAGCACAUUUUUUCCAAAUUAGGAAUUCUCAAUCCAUCAUACAACAUUAUGGCAUCCCUUUUCCAAACAUUUCCUUUUAAUAUGCUCUUUAACAUGAUAAGCAAAUCUAAUAGAAUACAUUAGUGUCACUUCUCAGUGAUGGAGCGUUUCCUCCUGUUGCAAUUCACGAUGAGUUCAGG
rnacentral:lncRNA from 1 species